GAUGAACGCUGGCGGCGUGCCUAAUACAUGCCAGUCGAGCGAACGGACGAGAAGCUUGCUUCUCUGAUGUUAGCGGCGGACGGGUGAGUAACACGUGGAUAACCUACCUAUAAGACUGGGAUAACUUCGGGAAACCGGAGCUAAUACCGGAUAAUAUUUUGAACCGCAUGGUUCAAAAGUGAAAGACGGUCUUGCUGUCACUUAUAGAUGGAUCCGCGCUGCAUUAGCUAGUUGGUAAGGUAACGGCUUACCAAGGCAACGAUGCAUAGCCGACCUGAGAGGGUGAUCGGCCACACUGGAACUGAGACACGGUCCAGACUCCUACGGGAGGCAGCAGUAGGGAAUCUUCCGCAAUGGGCGAAAGCCUGACGGAGCAACGCCGCGUGAGUGAUGAAGGUCUUCGGAUCGUAAAACUCUGUUAUUAGGGAAGUACAUAUGUGUAAGUAACUGUGCACAUCUUGACGGUACCUAAUCAGAAAGCCACGGCUAACUACGUG
rnacentral:rRNA from 1 species